rnacentral:tRNA from 2 species
GGGCGAUUAGCUCAGUCGGUAGAGCACUUGACUUUUAAUCAAGUUGUCGGGGGUUCGAAUCCCCCAUCGCUCA